rnacentral:rRNA from 1 species
CAGUCGCCGCGGGAAUACAGAGGGUGCAAGCGUUGUUCGGAAUUACCGGGCGUAAAGCGUGCGUAGUCGGUAUUGAGAGUCGCGGGUGAAAUCCCAGGGCUUAACCCUGGAACUGCCUGCGAGACCUCAGUACUAGAGUGUGAGAGGGGAUAGUGGAAUACCCAGUGUAGCGGUGAAAUGCGUAGAGAUUGGGUGGAACACCGGUGGCGAAGGCGGCUAUCUGGCUCACAACUGACGAUCAGGCACGAAAGCGUGGGGAGCAAACAGGAUUAGAUACCCGGGUAGUCCCUGUCUCUUAUAC